rnacentral:rRNA from 1 species
UGGGGAAUUUUGGACAAUGGGCGCAAGCCUGAUCCAGCAAUGCCGCGUGAGUGAAGAAGGCCUUCGGGUUGUAAAGCUCUUUUGUCAGGGAAGAAACGGCUGAGGCUAAUAUCCUCGGCUAAUGACGGUACCUGAAGAAUAAGCACCGGCUAACUACGUGCCAGCAGCCGCGGUAAUACGUAGGGUGCAAGCGUUAAUCGGAAUUACUGGGCGUAAAGCGUGCGCAGGCGGUUUUGUAAGUCUGACGUGAAAUCCCCGGGCUCAACCUGGGAAUUGCGUUGGAGACUGCAAGGCUGGAGUCUGGCAGAGGGGGGUAGAAUUCCACGUGUAGCAGUGAAAUGCGUAGAGAUGUGGAGGAACACCGAUGGCGAAGGCAGCCCCCUGGGUCAAGACUGACGCUCAUGCACGAAAGCGUGGGGAGCAAACAGG